AUUUUAGAGUUGGGACAGCAGGGGUUUGAAUAUAUUUGAAGGUUUUGAGGUGAAUUACGAACCUAAGAUCGAGUAUCGAGGGAGUUAUGAGUUAAAGUCUUUAGGCCACCUGAAUUUAGCGAAAAAGUUCCUGACAGAUGACCGAGUAGGCCUCUAUAUCAGCAGGAUUGACUUUUAUCCGAUUGGUCAGCCCCUUUCCUCUGGAGCUGCCAGAGUUGGGAGGUUUGUUACCUUUUGUUGUAUAUAUCUUUA